UGAGUAACACGUGGGCAACCUGCCUGUAAGACUGGGAUAACUUCGGGAAACCGAAGCUAAUACCGGAUAGGAUCUUCUCCUUCAUGGGAGAUGAUUGAAAGAUGGUUUCGGCUAUCACUUACAGAUGGGCCCGCGGUGCAUUAGCUAGUUGGUGAGGUAACGGCUCACCAAGGCAACGAUGCAUAGCCGACCUGAGAGGGUGAUCGGCCACACUGGGACUGAGACACGGCCCAGACUCCUACGGGAGGCAGCAGUAGGGAAUCUUCCGCAAUGGACGAAAGUCUGACGGAGCAACGCCGCGUGAGUGAUGAAGGCUUUCGGGUCGUAAAACUCUGUUGUUAGGGAAGAACAAGUACAAGAGUAACUGCUNGUACCUUGACGGUACCUAACCAGAAAGCCACGGCUAACUACGUGCCAGCAGCCGCGGUAAUACGUAGGUGGCAAGCGUUAUCCGGAAUUAUUGGGCGUAAAGCGCGCGCAGGCGGUUUCUUAAGUCUGAUGUGAAAGCCCACGGCUCAACCGUGGAGGGUCAUUGGAAACUGGGGAACUUGAGUGCAGAA
rnacentral:rRNA from 1 species